GUUUAUCGUGAUAGUGCGACGCGAUCUAUCAUCUUCUUCCAGAGCUCCGGAUCUGCAACCGAGUAGUGCGACGCAAAGGCAACUGGCGGCGACGAUCGGCGUCUUCGCCGCCGGCGCCACCCUGAUUGCGGCUGGCAUCACCAAGUCGGCGAAGUAGGGUUCUGUAGUGUUCCAGAAAUAUUCUCAUGGGUUCGUGACCAGAAGUUCUCUGUUCAACGAAGGUAAAUCUGCGAGGAAGGGAGCGAAGGAAGAAGAGAGAGGUCAGUCGAAUCGAACGUGUGCCUUGAGAUUUUGCGUUAAAAUCUCCGCCUCCGGCUUCUCCUCCCCUGUAUCGGAUCGUUUGCGGUUCUGGGUUGGUCUCGGCUUCGGCUCCCCUCAUCUGGGUUCAGGUGCUCGACCGGCGUUCGGUCUUCGGUCCGGGUGAUGGAAGUGCCAUCCUUUGUUGAAAGUCCUGUUCUUACCUUGCUGGCAUUUGCUUUUCUCUUUUCCCUCUUUGUUGCGUGAUGAAUGAAAUUAAAAGGUGUGUGAUUGUAUCGAGAGUUUUCUCAGUUCAAUUUUUUGUGUACUUCUUGUUGUUCUAGCAGCUGAUCUUCGCUUUGCUAGUGGGACUUAAGCUAGCACCACCUUGUGGUGUGAUUUUAAGGCAA